CCCAAUAUAAUGGCAGAAAUGAAUAUUUGUUUGGUGGGAGUUCGGAGUCUUCCGAUUAUGAAGAUUUGAAUACUCAUCCGGUAAUUAAACUCACAGCUGAGCUAAUUGUUUUACUGACAUUCAGAUUGAAUCGAUUAUCAAGAAACUACCGAUUUGUACAUAGGGUGCUUUCCGCUGAAAAAAAAACAUUACAGGAAAUAAGUAUUAUGAAUCGUCUUGGAUUAUCGAACACAGCGGAAAUGUUUAAGUUUUUAAAUCAAUCUUUAAAUAAUAGACCAAGAAGAGACCCUGGAGUCAAUUUAGACUCUAAAGGCGGUGAUUUUACUAGUCUAGACCACAAUGAUUUUGUACAAAUGAUGAUUUCUAUGUGGUAUGCGCUUAUUGCUAAUACUGAGACAAUAUGCUAUUUGGCUGUGUUUCUGAAUCAAGCAGCAAAUUCGUCUUUGAUUUCAUUGCCUAUGCCUUUUUUAGUUCUAUGCUGGGGUGCUUUAACAUUACCAAGGCCAAGUAAAUCUUUUUGGGUUACUUUACUUACAUAUACGUUGGCAAUGAUAUUUCUUAAAUCCAUUAUGCACCAAAAAUAGUACUGGACCAACGGUUUAUUAACAGAUCAAACAAAUUAAGUUUUGAGCUUGUUAUGAAGCAUGGUUAUGCUGUUUACGAUCUUUUUCUUCUGGUUGUGCUAUUCUGGCAUCGAUAUAUGCUAAAAAAGCAAGGCAUUUGGACAAUUCAACGAACGAACUCAGAGCUAUUAUUACUGGAAAAGAAUCCUUGUAAUCUUAGGCGAAGUUAUAGUAAUGAGGAACCGGAAGGUAUACUUAAGCGUUUAAGGUAAG